rnacentral:rRNA from 1 species
CAGGGAGCUUACCAUGCAAGUCGAGCGCACUCUUCGGAGUGAGCGGCGGACGGGUUAGUAACGCGUGGGAACGUGCCCUUCUCUAAGGAAUAGCCACUGGAAACGGUGAGUAAUACCUUAUACGCCCUUCGGGGGAAAGAUUUAUCGGAGAAGGAUCGGCCCGCGUUAGAUUAGAUAGUUGGUGGGGUAAUGGCCUACCAAGUCUACGAUCUAUAGCUGGUUUUAGAGGAUGAUCAGCAACACUGGGACUGAGACACGGCCCAGACUCCUACGGGAGGCAGCAGUGGGGAAUCUUGGACAAUGGGCGCAAGCCUGAUCCAGCCAUGCCGCGUGAGUGAUGAAGGCCUUAGGGUCGUAAAGCUCUUUCGCCAGAGAUGAUAAUGACAGUAUCUGGUAAAGAAACCCCGGCUAACUCCGUGCCAGCAGCCGCGGUAAUACGGAGGGGGUUAGCGUUGUUCGGAAUUACUGGGCGUAAAGCGCACGUAGGCGGAUCAGAAAGUAUAGGGUGAAAUCCCAGGGCUCAACCCUGGAACUGCCUUGUAAACUCCUGGUCUUGAGUUCGAGAGAGGUGAGUGGAAUUCCGAGUGUAGAGGUGAAAUUCGUAGAUAUUCGGAGGAACACCAGUGGCGAAGGCGGCUCACUGGCUCGAUACUGACGCUGAGGUGCGAAAGUGUGGGGAGCAAACAGGAUUAGAUACCCUGGUAG